rnacentral:rRNA from 1 species
ACUCCUACGGGAGGCAGCAGUGGGGAAUAUUGCGCAAUGGGGGAAACCCUGACGCAGCGACGCCGCGUGAGUGAAGAAGGCCUUCGGGUCGUAAAGCUCUGUCCUUGGGGAAGAAAGAAAUGGCGGUACCCGAGGAGGACGCCCCGGCUAACUUCGUGCCAGCAGCCGCGGUAAU